rnacentral:lncRNA from 1 species
UCGGGAGGCAAGGUGGGCAUAAAGAGAAGUUGAGUGUAACUAAACCGAUCUUCCUUAGGAAAUGCCCAUUUGCUGAAGCCAGAUUUUCUUUUGAAUGAACAUAGCAGGUUUGAGUGAAGAUGCUGUUUUGUGUUUUCCCCAUGCUGCAGUUCCUGGGUUGAAGUGAAAGACCCAAGACUUGCCAGUGAAGAGACUUCAGCCAGGACCCUGAGCAUCCCUGGUGGACAGUGUGCCUGCAGAGCUGAUGGCUGUUGUCGAUUGUGCCCCUUGUAAGUGUCAUUGCUGCCAUCAGAACUGCUUAUUUUGCCAACAGAAUUUAAACGACAUCUGGCACAAGCCCUCCUUGCCUUAACGCUGUGGCCUGGAAAAGGCAGAAUCCCCAGUUGGAAAAGACCGGAAGUAUGGGCAGAAAUUCAGUGAAGUUUUCCCACUGGAAAGUGGAGUGGGCAUCCCUGCUCUUUUCUUCUCUCCACCAGAAGAUUUAUUUAAACUUUCUUAUUGGUA